rnacentral:rRNA from 1 species
UGGGGAAUUUUGCGCAAUGGGCUAACGCCUGACGCAGCAACGCCGCGUGGAGGAUGAAGGUCCUUGGAUUGUAAACUCCUGUCAGCAGGGAAAAAGCGAAUCGGCCUAAUACGCCGGUGAGUUGAUUGUACCUGCAGAGGAAGCCCCGGCUAACUCUGUGCCAGCAGCCGCGGUAAUACAGAGGGGGCAAGCGUUAUUCGGAAUUAUUGGGCGUAAAGGGCGCGUAGGCGGCUUGGCAAGUGGAUGGUGAAAUCCCUCGGCUUAACCGAGGAACUGCCGUCCAAACUGCUUCGCUUGAGACCGGGAGAGGUGAGUGGAAUUCCCAGUGUAGCGGUGAAAUGCGUAGAUAUUGGGAGGAACACCAGUGGCGAAGGCGGCUCACUGGACCGGUACUGACGCUGAUGCGCGAAAGCGUGGGGAGCAAACGGGAUUAGAUACCCCCGUAGUCC